rnacentral:rRNA from 1 species
UACGAAGGGUGCUAGCGUUGUUCGGAAUCACUGGGCGUAAAGCGUGCGUAGGCGGCUUUCCAAGUCAGGGGUGAAAUCCUGGGGCUCAACCCCAGAAUUGCCUUUGAAACUGGAAAGCUAGAGUACUGGAGGGGAUAGCGGAAUUCCUAAUGUAGAGGUGAAAUUCGUAGAUAUUAGGAGGAACACCGGUGGCGAAGGCGGCUAUCUGGACAGUAACUGACGCUCUGGCACGAAAGUGCGGGGAUCAAACAGG